GGAUGACUGACAUGGGAGGACCUAGCCGAGUAGUAGAAGAGGAGCCGCGUGACAUACACGUGGUAUAUGAGACACCAUUGAUAGCGGAGCCUACAUCAACUGUAGUCCCUAUCGAUGAUGAUGAUGAUGAGGAAGAGGAGAUGGAGCCAAUACCCGAGGAGUCUGAUCCAGAGGAGGAGCCUAUGGAGGAGCGUAUGGUGGACAAGCCCAU
rnacentral:lncRNA from 1 species